rnacentral:lncRNA from 1 species
CUUCAAUCAUGCUUCUGUUGAUUGCGUUGCUUCAUUGUUCUUGGUCUCGGUUUUGAGCGCGAAUAUAGACAGACCCGACUAUCCUUGCUCAUAUACCUCUGAAUCAAUCAACAAUGGGAAUUACAUAUCCAGGCAGAAACAAGGCACUCAAUAUAUAUGCUUUCUAACCAGUCUGUCUGUUCACCACAACCAGGUGUCACCGUCCUUAUACGGCCAGUUUUUCCUUCCAUAGUAUUUCACCUACUAUUUCUGCCUAGCCCUUUCUUCUAUUUCCAUUCAUUUUUUUUCACUUCGUUCGACCUUUGCCAUUGAUCAGACCAGACAAUCCGCGACCCAAUCAACCACUUUCAUCCCCAACCCAACACUUUACCCCUCCCAUAUAAUCCAUUCGGUUCCUAUGCCUUAUGCCUUCGGGCAUUUGGUCAAUUUGAAACGAUACAGAGAAGAUUAGCAUGGCCCCUGCACUAAGGAUGACACGCUC